rnacentral:lncRNA from 1 species
CAUGAUAUAGGACCCUUCUCUGAGGAGGCCUCUGAAUCUUGGUAGAGAAGCUGCUGGCUUAUAUAAACUGGCUUGGGUUCCACCUUCCCCUUCUUCCUCUAUUAGUUGUUCAUCUACUAGGAGGCCUCUGGAUCUUGGUAGAGAAGCUGCUAGCUUAUAUAAACUGGCUUGGGUUCCUCCUUCCCCUUCUUCCUCUAUUAGUUGUUCCUCUACUUCUAUUUGUUCUGUGUCUGCUUCUUGUAAUGAUGACAUUUUGUCUGAUA